UACGUAGGGUCCGAGCGUUGUCCGGAAUUACUGGGCGUAAAGAGCUCGUAGGUGGUUUGUCGCGUUGUUCGUGAAAACUCACAGCUUAACUGUGGGCGUGCGGGCGAUACGGGCAGACUGGAGUACUGCAGGGGAGACUGGAAUUCCUGGUGUAGCGGUGGAAUGCGCAGAUAUCAGGAGGAACACCGGUGGCGAAGGCGGGUCUCUGGGCAGUAACUGACGUUGAGGAGCGAAAGCGUGGGGAGCGAACAGG
rnacentral:rRNA from 1 species